rnacentral:sRNA from 1 species
UGAUGACUCUCGAGAAGGUAUGUCUCAC